rnacentral:tRNA from 1 species
GGAGAAGUCGCGUAGCUUGGUCGAGCGCGCACGACUGGAAAUCGUGUAAACCUCAAAAAGGUUUCGAGGGUUCGAAUCCCUCCUUCUCCGCCA